UACGUAGGGUGCGAGCGUUAAUCGGAAUUACUGGGCGUAAAGCGUGCGCAGGCGGUUUUGUAAGCCAGAUGUGAAAUCCCCGGGCUUAACCUGGGAAUGGCAUUUGGGACUGCAAGGCUGGAGUGCGGCAGAGGAGACUGGAAUUCCUGGUGUAGCAGUGAAAUGCGUAGAUAUCAGGAGGAACACCGAUGGCGAAGGCAGGUCUCUGGGCUGACACUGACGCUCAUGCACGAAAGCUAGGGGAGCAAACGGG
rnacentral:rRNA from 1 species